AGAAGUACCUUGAAGGCAUCUGAAGCGUUCAGGCCCGAAACGAGGCAGAAAACCAUUCCAGCAGUCUUGGUCUCUCCUGUGCUGCCUUCUGUUGCCACGCCAAACAGAUCCCAGCUACUGCAGGAAACCCAGUUGCGAAUGUUCCUUGAGAAGCAUGCCAGCGAAAUGAUGCACCUGCAGCUGUCUCUCCUGGCAGAGGAAAUCAACAUGAUCACUCACUUUUGUGACUCAUCCAAGCUGAAGAAGAGUAUGGAAACGGCAAGCGGUGCAGACUCCAAAAUAGCCAGUGACUGGCAGGACCUCCUGAAGGAGAUGGCUGAAUAUCACCAGCAUGCCGAGCAAGAGCUUAGCCAGC